rnacentral:rRNA from 1 species
AUGGUCCGCAUGAUGACCGAAGGCAUCGUGAAUAGGUUUUUGAGGUCUGCGAAGGCCGAGAUGCUUCAAAAGAACGAGACGGAGAUAAGAUGUCCGUGUCGAAGAUGCAAGCUGAAGAGCCUUAUUGCGGACCCGGAAUCCGGGCAGGUGCGGGACCACCUGCUCUUGCGUGGUUUCAUGGAUGGCUAUCGGUGGCAAGGUGAUGAAGAUGACUACGAAGUCGUCCAUGGGGGCCGGGCAAGAAAUGAGGAAGGGCAGCAAGACAACCACCGCGGCUCGGCCGGGCGAGAAGACGAAGAAUCCCCAGGAGAUGAUCACGACGGUGAUGCUGUACACAGUCAUCAUGUAGAAGAUGCAGGACAUGAUGAUGAGGAAGAUGCCGGAGCAGACGGCGGGCAUGAUCAUGAAGAUGAUGAUGCCGGCGGAGCAGACGACGCUGGACCAACGAUGGGUUGGGUGCAGGACCCUCAUAUUCAAGAGCUGCUUCUCAAGCAGACGGAUAACGCAAGAGCUGCCGCCCGAGAGAAAGCCAAGAUGGAUCAACUUGAGUUAGACGCGGUUACUCCAUUGUAUGAAGGAUGCAGGCCCGAGGAUACCCGCCUGAAAGUAACGCUCAUGGCUCUGGAGAUGAAGGUAAAACACAAAAUGACCGACGCAUGCUUCGACGAGAACAUGUCAUUCUGGCACGAACGUCUUCCCAAGGGGAACAAGUGCCCGACCAGUUUGGAGGAGGCGAAGAAAAUCGUGUGUCCUCUGGAUUUACCGCACGUGAAAUACCAUGUGUGCAUGAACAAUUGCAUCAUUUAUCGGGAUGAGCACGCGGAGUCUACCAUAUGU